rnacentral:rRNA from 1 species
UACGGAGGGUGCAAGCGUUAUCCGGAUUCACUGGGUUUAAAGGGUGCGUAGGCGGCCCGCUAAGUCGAACGUGAAAUCCCCGAGCUCAACUCGGGAACUGCGUCCGAUACUGGCGGGCUUGAAUCCGGGAGAGGGAUGCGGAAUUCCAGGUGUAGCGGUGAAAUGCGCAGAUAUCGGGAGGAACACCAAUUGCGAAGGCAGCUCGCUGGGACGUUACUGACGCUGAGACGCGAAAGCGUGGGGAGCAAACAGG